rnacentral:rRNA from 1 species
GAUGAACGCUAGCGAUAGGCCUAACACAUGCAAGUCGAGGGGCAUCACAUGAAGUAGCAAUACGGAUGGUGGCGACCGGCGCACGGGUGAGUAACACGUAUGCAACCUGCCUUCAACAAGGGGAUAACCCGUUGAAAGACGGACUAAUACCCUAUAACACAGGGGUCCCGCAUGGGAAUAUUUGUUAAAGGACAACCGGUUGAAGAUGGGCAUGCGUUCCAUUAGCUAGUUGGCGGGGUAACGGCCCACCAAGGCAACGAUGGAUAGGGGAACUGAGAGGUUUAUCCCCCACACUGGUACUGAGACACGGACCAGACUCCUACGGGAGGCAGCAGUGAGGAAUAUUGGUCAAUGGACGCAAGUCUGAACCAGCCACGUCGCGUGAAGGAAGACGGCCCUACGGGUUGUAAACUUCUUUUAUACGGGAAUAAAGUGCCCCACGCGUGGGGUUUUGCAUGUACCGUAUGAAUAAGGAUC